AAGGACUCCCUUAAUGUUAUCAUUUGUGAACUUUGCCAUUCCAGUUUCAGCUUGUUCUUCCUUUAUUCUUAACAGCACAUCUAUCACGUCGUCUUUCUCCUUAUUCCUUCCUGGUUUAAGAUGAUCAUUGAUUGCAUAUUCAAAAAAGGUAUCCAACUCAUGGAAAACUCUUUCAGUCCUAGCAUGAUGGCUGGUUAUCCAAUCAAAAACCCAACCAAAAUAUGGGAACAAUUCACUUUUAGAGAAGCUUCCUGCCACAGCUUCACCAUCAUGAACCACUUCAUGAAAUCUAUCUCUGUCGAAAUUAGUCCCCCGAUAAUCAAAUCCGAAAGACAUUCGAACUGUGAUAUUUGCAGUAAGGGAAAAUAACUUUUCUGUAAGAUUAAUGGGAGUUUCAGAAGCUGCUGAAUUGGAGAUUGAACUGAUGAACAAUUCAACUUCGGGCUGAAAAUUUUCUACGUAGUUUAGUAACAUAAACACGUAUUUUAUAUUCUACCGUAUUCUUUAUUGCAAAAUUACUAGAAAAUAAAUAAUUUACUAUGAUUUUCAUCUGAUGUUAUAAUAUAAUGGCUACUAAAAGUGCUCCACAGGCAAAAGGUUGAGAGGAGUCUUUUUAGAUACAGUGAGACUAAUACCAGGUUGCUCUUCCAUGUCGAUGUCUUCCCUCUUCAUUCCAUCGGGCAGUUUCCAAUCAAAACAAUACAGAAGGUUUGCAAGUACGAUCUCCACUGUUAUUGUUGCCAUAUGUAUCCCAGGACAAAUUCUUCUACCUGCUCCAAAUGGCAAGAAUUCAAAAUUUUGUCCUUUAAAGUCGAUGUCACUAUCAGCAAAUCUUUCAGGGAAGAAUUGUUCAGGAUCCUUCCAAUACUUAGGAUCACGUCCAAUUGCCCAGGCAUUAACUUGGAUUAGUGUCUUGGGAUAAAUGUCGUAGCCAUUGAUUUUAAAAUGAGAGAUUGUUUCUCUAGGAAGUAGCAGUGGAGCAGCAGGAUGCAAUCUGAAAGUUUCUUUUAUUACCAUCUUUAAGUAUUCAAGCUGGUCGAGAUCACCUUCAGUUAUUCUUCCUUUCUUUCCAACAACAUUUCUAACUUCAUCUUGCGCUUUCUUCAUCACACUCGGAUUCCGAGACAGCUCUGCCAUUGCCCAGUUCACGGUAAUCGCAGAAGUGUCUACUCCAGCUAAAAAUAAAUUCUGACGGACAAAUAUUACAUUUCAAUUAAUAGCACGGACUAGACAUAGAAGACGAAGAAAAUACUCAUAAAUGGAAUGUUGGAAACUUACCAGAAGGACUCCCUUAAUGUUAUCAUUUGUGAACUUUGCCAUUCCAGUUUCAGCUUGUUCUUCCUUUAUUCUUAACAGCACAUCUAUCACGUCGUCUUUCUCCUUAUUCCUUCCUGGUUUAAGAUGAUCAUUGAUUGCAUAUUCAAAAAAGGUAUCCAACUCAUGGAAAACUCUUUCAGUCCUAGCAUGAUGGCUGGUUAUCCAAUCAAAAACCCAACCAAAAUAUGGGAACAAUUCACUUUUAGAGAAGCUUCCUGCCACAGCUUCACCAUCAUGAACCACUUCAUGAAAUCUAUCUCU
rnacentral:lncRNA from 1 species